AGGACGAACGCUGGCGGCGUGCCUAACACAUGCAAGUGGAGCGACGACCCGGGCUUCGGCCCGGUGCAAAGCCGCGAACGGGUGAGUAACACGUGGGUAACCUGCCCUGAUGAUUGGGACAACCCGAGGAAACUCGGGCUAAUACCGAAUGUGCCCUCUGGCCGUAAGGCCUCUGGGGAAAGGAAGCUUCGGCCUCCGCAUUGGGAUGGGCCCGCGGCCCAUUAGCUUGUUGGUGAGGUAACGGCUCACCAAGGCAACGAUGGGUAGCUGGUCUGAGAGGACGAUCAGCCACACUGGGACUGAGACACGGCCCAGACUCCUACGGGAGGCAGCAGUGGGGAAUCUUGCGCAAUGCGCGAAAGCGUGACGCAGCAACGCCGCGUGGGGGAAGAAGGCCUUCGGGUUGUAAACCCCUUUCAGCAGGGACGAAGCGAAAGUGACGGUACCUGCAGAAGAGCGCCGGCUACUACGUGCCAGCAGCCGC
rnacentral:rRNA from 1 species